rnacentral:rRNA from 1 species
GUAACGUAGGGUGCAAGCGUUGUCCGGAAUUAUUGGGCGUAAAGAGCUUGUAGGCGGUUUGUCGCGUCUGCUGUGAAAUUUCGGGGCUCAACCCCGAACUUGCAGUGGGUACGGGCAGACUAGAGUGUGGUAGGGGAGACUGGAAUUCCUGGUGUAGCGGUGAAAUGCGCAGAUAUCAGGAGGAACACCGAUGGCGAAGGCAGGUCUCUGGGCCAUAACUGACGCUGAGAAGCGAAAGCAUGGGGAGCGAACAGG